GUGAAAUCUGAUUCAAAAGUUAAAGUUUUUGCUUUAUCUUGAUUCUUUCUUCAACCUAUUAUUACUGAAAACGUGAGCUUGUUAAAAGGAAACUAUAACCUUAAACUCAUUGGAGAAGAGAAAGUCUAUCUCAAUUUAAUUGAAAAUAGUUCUACUUAAUUUUAUUAAUUCGAGUGACCCAUUUUUAUAGAAGAGGUUUAUGCAAGAUUUAUUAGAAAAGAUUUAUUAGAAUUCUACUAGA
rnacentral:misc_RNA from 1 species